rnacentral:rRNA from 1 species
UGGGGAAUAUUGCACAAUGGGCGAAAGCCUGAUGCAGCGACGCCGCGUGAGGGAUGACGGCCUUCGGGUUGUAAACCUCUUUCAGCAGGGAAGAAGCGAAAGUGACGGUACCUGCAGAAGAAGCGCCGGCUAACUACGUGCCAGCAGCCGCGGUAAUACGUAGGGCGCAAGCGUUGUCCGGAAUUAUUGGGCGUAAAGAGCUCGUAGGCGGUUAGUCGCGUCUGCUGUGAAAACUCGAGGCUCAACCUCGGGCUUGCAGUGGGUACGGGCUGACUAGAGUGCGGUAGGGGUGACUGGAAUUCCUGGUGUAGCGGUGGAAUGCGCAGAUAUCAGGAGGAACACCGAUGGCGAAGGCGAGGUCACUGGGCCGCAACUGACGCUGAGGAGCGAAAGCAUGGGGAGCGAACAGGAUUAGAUACCCUGGUAGUCCAUGCCGUAAACGUUGGGCACUAGGUGUGGGGUCCAUUCCACGGAUUCCGUGCCGCAGCAAACGCAUUAAGUGCCCCGCCUGGGGAGUACGGCCGCAAGGCUAAAACUUAAAUGAAUUGACGGGGUCAUAGCUGUUUCCU